AAUCCAUGGUGACGGCAGUCAUGUUCAUACUCCUUAAAACACUUCCAGGCUUCAUAAAAAGGUUCAGCCGGUCCUUGCUGGAAACUUGAGAUAUUGGUUCUCAGUAA
rfam:Eutrema salsugineum unplaced genomic scaffold scaffold_8, whole genome shotgun sequence.